rnacentral:rRNA from 1 species
UGCCAGCAGCCGCGGUAAGACAGAGGGUGCAAACGUUGCUCGGAAUCACUGGGCGUAAAGCGCGUGUAGGCGGACUCGCAAGUCGGUUGUGAAAUCCCUGGGCUCAACCUAGGAACUGCAUCCGAAACUGCGUGUCUAGAGUGCUGGAGAGGGAAGCGGAAUUCCGGGUGUAGAGGUGAAAUUCGUAGAUAUCCGGAGGAACACCAGUGGCGAAGGCGGCUUCCUGGACAGUUACUGACGCUGAGACGCGAAAGCGUGGGGAGCAAACAGGAUUAGAUA